GGAAGGCAUAUCAAGGGCAAAUUGAGCUAUGGGUCUUUGACCGAUGUUUCUGGGAUUCAAGUGAAGAAGCUCUUCGCGUGGCUCCCUAUUACUGGAAUCAAGGUUAAUAAAGGCUCUGAUUCCAUUGAGUUUGCGGUUGGGUUCUUGUCUGAGACUUUGCCGGCCGACCUGUUCCACAGCAUUCCUGCAUGUAGAAGGAAGGCUUGCCUAGAAGGAAAAACAGAGGCAAUGUGAGGUGGAAAUAAUAGCUUUCCAAAGUCGUUU
rnacentral:misc_RNA from 1 species